GACGAACGCUGGCGGCGUGCUUAACACAUGCAAGUCGACGAGCGGCGAACGGGUGAGUAACGCGUGAGUAACCUGCCCCCUCUCUGGGAUAACCGUUGGAAACGGCUGCUAAUACCGGAUAAAGGGGGAUGGGCUCGCGGCCUAUCAGCUUGUUGGUGGGGUGAUGGCCUACCAGGGCGGUGACGGGUAGCCGGCCUGGGAGGGUGACCCGCCGCAUGUGGACUGGGACACGGCCCAGAGUGCGACGGGAGGCGGCAGUGGGGGAUAUUGCACAAGGGGCGAAAGCAUGAUGCAGGGGUGCCGCGUGGGGGAUUAAGGCUUUCGGGGUGUAAACCUCUGUCGAUAUCGAACGGGUAGGUGGAGAAGAAGCGCCGGCUAACUACGUGCCAGCCGCCGCGGUAAUUC
rnacentral:rRNA from 1 species